rnacentral:lncRNA from 1 species
UGCCAUCAAUACUUCCAUUGUGGAGAUGGAGAGACAGGCACAGAGAACUAAAGUCACUUGUGCAAGAUAGAACUUCCAGGGCUGGAGGUCCUGAAAGGGUGGCACUUUCUAGGCUGCGAAACAGGAGCAAGCCAUCUGCAGCCCGCCCAGCCUGCAUGGUACCCCUCCAGCCCCUACAGAUGCAGAAGGUUGAGCAAGCUAGAAACCACUGGAAAAAUCAUCGGAAAAAGCAAGAUCUGCUUCCAGCAAAAUCCCAGCCAACAACAAGAUGGAAUGAUUUGAUGAUGAAACUGAGCACCAUUCGGACUGUACGAGCUGGAUUUUAUUAGUUUGUUUUGAAUGUCCUCUGGGGGUGGGUGGGGGUGGGGUGGGUAGGCUCAGUCUUGUGUGAGCCUUGGCCCUGGCACCAGCCCACGGCAGAGCUGGAAGUGUGGGACCUGGGGCCAGACUGCCUGGUUGGAAUCUCAGCUAGAUCUCAUACUAGCCAUGUGACCUCGGGCAAGUUCCUAAUUUCUCUGUGCCCGUUUCCUCUCUGAUAAAGCAAUGUGAUGGGCAUA